rnacentral:rRNA from 1 species
GUAGGGUGCGAGCGUUAAUCGGAAUUACUGGGCGUAAAGCGUGCGCAGGCGGUUCGUCGUGUCCGAUGUGAAAGCCCCGGGCUCAACCUGGGAAUGGCAUUGGAAACUGGCGGGCUUGAGUGUGGCAGAGGGGGGUGGAAUUCCGCGUGUAGCAGUGAAAUGCGUAGAGAUGCGGAGGAACACCGAUGGCGAAGGCAGCCCCCUGGGCUAACACUGACGCUCAGGCACGAAAGCGUGGGGAGCAAACAGGAUUAGAUACCCUGGUAGUCCACGCCCUAAACGAUGAUCACUAGGUGUUCGGGGAGCGAUCUCUGAGUACCGUAGCUAACGCGUGAAGUGAUCCGCCUGGGGAGUACGGUCGCAAGAUUA